AUAGUUACCUGGCAGGGAAGAUACCAUGAUCAGGAAGAUGGUUUUCCCAGGGUGAGGCUUACCAUUGCACUCCGGAUGUGCUGACCCCUGCGAUUUCCCCAAAUGUGGGAAACUCGACUGCAGUAUUUGUGGUAGUGGGGGACUGCGUUUGCGCUCUCCCCUG
rnacentral:snRNA from 1 species